UUGGAAUAGUUAUUUUAAUAUACAGUCAUAUAUGCUUUUAAAAUGAAAAAUCUAUCAGUGUUUUUCCUCCUUUUUUUUCUUUUAUAUAUUGAACAAGUUUUAGGAAAUGCUGUUUUACUUACUAGCAAUAAUAACCCUACACACCAUCAACACGGACAUACAGGAAGCAAGCCAAAAGUUGAUGUACAUAGUUUAAUUAAAGAUCUUAUAGCAAAGGAAGAUGAAGUGGCUGAUUUAGAGAAAUCAAAUUUAAAAUGUAAAAUUAUUGCUACGGUUUUGGGAAUACUAGCUACUAUUGCAUCAGUCGUUGCUGGUGUUCUGGCAUAUAAAUGUGCCUUUAAAAAAGGAGAGAGACAAUAUAAAAGCGGUUUUGAUGGUACUAAUGAUGAUGGUGGUAGUGGUGAUGGUGUUGGAGGUGGUAGUGGUGAUGGCAGUGGUAGCAGUGGUAGUGGUGGAGAUAACAUAACUCCACUAUUGUCAGAUAAAUGAUGUAAAAUAUGUGCUGAUACAAAGAUAAACACUGAUAGGAAUAAUUUAGGAAAUAGGACCUUUAAUUUAUAUAACUUGGCUACCUACAAAGUAUAUUUUAUAUUAAUUGUUAGGUUUUCAAACACGCCAGUAUAUAUUUUUUUAUUAUUAAUAUAAAGAAAUGUUGCAUGUACAUAUAUAUAAGCACUUAUUUUGUAAAAGUUACUGCUUCUUUUAAGAUAAUAAUGUGUUUUUUUUUUUUUUUUUUAUAAUAAUUUUUUUUUUUUUUUUAUAUUGUACUAAUGAAAUGUAUUUGGUUGUAGUGAUUUUAACGGUAUAUAUACAUAUAUUCAUUUAUUUAUUGUUAUUUUUUUUUUUUCUAUAUUUAUUUUUACUUAUCUAGUAAUUUUUUUUAAUUUUAAUUAAUUUUUAUAUUGAUUUUUUUAUAUACUACUAUUAUUAUUAUUACUAUUAUUAUUUUAUUUGAUAUUUCUUUUAAUUUUAAUUUUUGGCAUAUUUUACUAUUUAAAAGGAUUUUUAUUUUAUAUAAAACUGUUUGAUGGGUAGUGUUUCUCUUCUUUUAUUAAUUUUUAUUUAUUAAGAAUUAUAUUAAAUGAUAUGUAAAAAAAAAUAAAAAAAAUAAAAUUCAGUUUUUUUUCUUCUUU
rnacentral:lncRNA from 1 species